UACGUAGGGGGCUAGCAUUGUCCGGAAUCAUUGGGCGUAAAGAGCGUGUAGGCGGCCCGGUAAGUCCGCUGUGAAAGUCGGGGGCUCAACCCUCGAAUGCCGGUGGAUACUGUCGGGCUAGAGUGCGGAAGAGGCGAGUGGAAUUCCUGGUGUAGCGGUGAAAUGCGCAGAUAUCAGGAGGAACACCGAUUGCGAAGGCAGCUCGCUGGGACGUAACUGACGCUGAGACGCGAAAGCGUGGGGAGCAAACAGG
rnacentral:rRNA from 1 species